GACGAACGCUGGCGGCGUGCUUAACACAUGCAAGUCGAACGCUGAAGCUCAGCUUUUGUUGGGUGGAUGAGUGGCGAACGGGUGAGUAACACGUGAGUAACCUGCCCCCUUCUUUGGGAUAACGCCCGGAAACGGGUGCUAAUACUGGAUAUUCACUGGUCUUCGCAUGGGGGUUGGUGGAAAGGGUUUUUCUGGUGGGGGAUGGGCUCGCGGCCUAUCAGCUUGUUGGUGGGGUGAUGGCCUACCAAGGCUUUGACGGGUAGCCGGCCUGAGAGGGUGACCGGUCACAUUGGGACUGAGAUACGGCCCAGACUCCUACGGGAGGCAGCAGUGGGGAAUAUUGCACAAUGGGCGCAAGCCUGAUGCAGCGACGCCGCGUGAGGGAUGGAGGCCUUCGGGUUGUGAACCUCUUUCGCUCAUGGUCAAGCCGCAACAAUGGUUGUGGUGGGGGUAGUGGGUAAAGAAGCGCCGGCUAACUACGUG
rnacentral:rRNA from 1 species